CAAAACUAGCACAGCACAAGACCAAACUAUAAAAAAUCAGAUGAAUGAUCGGAUCAUCAUACUAUUAUUGACGAUAUCAGACCAGGUGCGGAUCCCGCCUUUCUGCAAAAGGGGGAUCCAAACCACGGAACACACUGAAACGUCCACAAAAUAAAAAAAAAUAAUCGGAAAAAAUGGGGUUUCAACCACCAAAACUCCCUCUCCCCGCAUACCGGAUCCGGUAAUGUAGGCUGCAUCCAUUCAAAUAAAAGCUUCAAACAUCAUUAACACUUUUAAGUGUGUAAUUUAGGCAGCAACCAUUUGAUUUUCUGGGGGGGGCUAUGGUUUUUUUUUUUCUGUGCAAACUUUUUUUUCGCCUUUGGCGAAGAACAAUCUAUUUUUUUAGCGACAAACCGAAAACAAAUUUUUUCUUUCAAUUUUAGCAUUACAUAUAG
rnacentral:lncRNA from 1 species